AUGCACCUGGCAUGUCACCAAAUGAAAGCAGUCAGCUCGGAAAUCCUCAGUGGAACAACAGCAACAUCGAUCCUACAAACUCAGGAAACAAGAGUGGGCUUAGAAAAGCCAAAGACCAACACAAGGGACCCUAAGUCUCUGGAUUAAACCGAGGCUGAAAUAAUAAAGCUUUUACAGCCUUAAACACAGAGCCAUGAACAACAUCACAGCUCUGAUCCAAAACCUGUUCUUGGGCAGAUACUAGCCAUAGUUAUAUUCUUUCUGUCAAACUCCAUGUUCAGAUACACAACAAUACAAGCAUCAUUUAGCUGAAGAGUUUAUGGAAAUGACUCUCAUUGAUAUAUGGAGAUGAGAGACAUGCGGAACAACAAAUUUGAGCACAAGUGAACUCACAGAUGCCAUAAGAGGUGACUUCAUUAUCAUAACCUAUUAGUUUUUCUUUGCACAUAAUUCACAGAGAGUGUAAACCAGAUUUGAAAAGUGGAUAUUUAUGCAGUCACCAUAAGAAGAUUACCUGAGAGAUGUUUAUAUCUGCAUCCACAUUGUAUAUUAAGGAAGCAAUUUGAUUGAAUUUGGCAAAGUCCAAAGCUCAUGUGUUUUGAAACCUGCUACACUCACUGCUGUGAUUUUAUGGUUUUGUCGUGAAUUAAUAGCAACGUGGCGCCAUCUAGUGGAAAACACGAAUAAGAGCACUUUGGCAACACAAGAACCAGUUCAUUCUGCCAUUAUUUACACCAUAGUGUUGUUCCAAAACACACACACACACACACACAUAUAUAUAUAUAUAUAUCCUUUCUAGUGGAACACAAUAGAAGAAAUUGUUGAGAAUCUUAACAUAGCAUAGAGAGACGUUAAAUAAUUUGUGCUCUUUUCGUAAGACAAUUAAAUCAUUUAGAGAUGUAGGGUUCAUAAAGGUCAUAUAGCCUUAGUCUAUCUUACUGAGCACAGUGUCUACAUUUAUGUAUGCAUGUAUGUAUUUAUUUUACAGCAGGAGCAGUAUAUGGUACAAAAUUUUGCUUCACUUUGAGACAUA
ensembl:lncRNA